AACCUUUACACUGCACGACAGUGCGAUAGGGGGAUUCCGAGUGCGAGGGCAUACAGUCCUCGCUUUUCUGGACCGUAAGGAGGUCCAAGAAUAAGGGCUGGGCAAGACCGGUGCCAGCCGCCGCGGUAAUACCGGCAGCCCGAGUGAUGGCCGAUAUUAUUGGGCCUAAAGCGUCCGUAGCUGGCCAGACAAGUCCGUUGGGAAAUCCACGCGCUCAACGCGUGGGCGUCCAGCGGAAACUGCCUGGCUUGGGGCCGGAGGACUCGAGGGGUACGUCCGGGGUAGGAGUGAAAUCCCGUAAUCCUGGACGGACCACCGGUGGCGAAAGCGCCUCGAGAGGACGGACCCGACAGUGAGGGACGAAAGCCAGGGUCUCGAACCG
rnacentral:rRNA from 1 species